rnacentral:rRNA from 1 species
UACGGGGGGUGCGAGCGUUGUCCGGAAUCACUGGGCGUAAAGGGCGCGUAGGUGGUCUUAUAAGGGUGUGGUGAAACGGCCCGGGGCUCAACCCCGGUCGGCCGUGCCGACUGUAAGACUAGAGUGCUGUGAGGGCAGGGCGGAAUUCCGGGUGUAGCGGUGGAAUGCGUAGAGAUCCGGAGGAAGACCGGUGGCGAAGGCGGCCUGCUGGGCAGAUACUGACACUGAGGCGCGACAGCGUGGGGAGCAAACAGGG